CUGUGGCCAUAACACGUUGAAACAUCAUUUCUCGUACGAUCACCGAAGUUAGGAUGCUUCGAGCAUUGUCAGUACUCAGAUGGGUGACCGCUUAGGAAUACCAGGUGCUGGAAU